UGGGGAAUUUUGGACAAUGGGCGAAAGCCUGAUCCAGCAAUGCCGCGUGUGUGAAGAAGGCCUUCGGGUUGUAAAGCACUUUUGUCCGGAAAGAAAUCCUUGGCUCUAAUACAGUCGGGGGAUGACGGUACCGGAAGAAUAAGCACCGGCUAACUGCGUGCCAGCAGCCGCGGUAAUACGUAGGGUGCAAGCGUUAAUCGGAAUUACUGGGCGUAAAGCGUGCGCAGGCGGUUUGCUAAGACCGAUGUGAAAUCCCCGGGCUCAACCUGGGAACUGCAUUGGUGACUGGCAGGCUAGAGUAUGGCAGAGGGGGGUAGAAUUCCACGUGUAGCAGUGAAAUGCGUAGAGAUGUGGAGGAAUACCGAUGGCGAAGGCAGCCCCCUGGGCCAAUACUGACGCUCAUGCACGAAAGCGUGGGGAGCAAACAGGAUUAGAUACCCUGGUAGUCCACGCCCUAAACGAUGUCCAACUAGUUGUUGGGGAUUCAUUUCCUUAGUAACGUAGCUAACGCGUGAAGUUGACCGCCUGGGGAGUACGGUCGCAAGAUUAAAA
rnacentral:rRNA from 1 species